AUGAUGACUCUCGGCAACGGAUAUCUCGGCUCUCGCAUCGAUGAAGAAUGUAGCGAAAUGCGAUACCUGGUGUGAAUUGCAGAAUCCCGUGAACCAUCGAGUCUUUGAAUGCAAGUUGCGCCCGAGGCCACCCGGUCGAGGGCACGCCUGCCUGGGCAUCACGC
rnacentral:rRNA from 1 species